rnacentral:rRNA from 1 species
UACGUAGGGGGCGAGCGUUGUCCGGAUUUAUUGGGCGUAAAGAGCGUGUAGGCGGCCAGGUAGGUCUGCUGUGAAAACUCGAGGCUCAACCUCGAGACGUCGGCGGAAACCAUCUGGCUAGAGUCCGGAAGAGGAGAGUGGAAUUCCUGGUGUAGCGGUGAAAUGCGUAGAGAUCCGGAGGAACACCAAAGGCGAAGGCAGUGUCCUGGGGAGUACCUGACGCUCAGGUGCGAAAGCCAGGGGAGCGAACGGG